rnacentral:rRNA from 1 species
CCUACGGGAGGCAGCAGUAGGGAAUUUUCGGCAAUGGGGGGAACCCUGACCGAGCAACGCCGCGUGAACGAAGAAGUUAUUCGUAAUGUAAAGUUCUUUUUACAGGGAAGAAAGAGAAAUUUGACGGUACCUGAAGAAUAAGCUCCGGCUAACUACGUGCCAGCAGCCGCGGUAAUACGUGGGGAGCGAGCGUUAUCCGGAAUUAUUGGGCGUAAAGGGUGCGUAGAUGGCAUAGUAAGUCUUUUGUAAAAAUGCUGGGCUCAACCCAGUAGGGCAAAAGAUACUGCAAAGCUAGAGUAUGACAGAGGCAAGUGGAACUACAUGUGUAGCGGUAAAAUGCGUAGAUAUAUGUAAGAACACCAGUGGCGAAGGCGGCUUGCUGGGUCGAUACUGACAUUGAGGCACGAAAGCGUGGGGAGCAAACAGGAUUAGAUACCCGUGUAGUC